rnacentral:rRNA from 1 species
GGCUGCGUUUGGUCCUACCUGCAGUCGAACGGACCCUUCGGGGUUAGUGGCGGACGGGUGAGUAACACGUGGGAACGUGCCUUUAGGUUCGGAAUAGCUCCUGGAAACGGGUGGUAAUGCCGAAUGUGCCCUUCGGGGGAAAGAUUUAUCGCCUUUAGAGCGGCCCGCGUCUGAUUAGCUAGUUGGUGAGGUAAUGGCUCACCAAGGCGACGAUCAGUAGCUGGUCUGAGAGGAUGACCAGCCACAUUGGGACUGAGACACGGCCCAAACUCCUACGGGAGGCAGCAGUGGGGAAUCUUGCGCAAUGGGCGAAAGCCUGACGCAGCCAUGCCGCGUGAAUGAUGAAGGUCUUAGGAUUGUAAAAUUCUUUCACCGGGGACGAUAAUGACGGUACCCGGAGAAGAAGCCCCGGCUAACUUCGUGCCAGCAGCCGCGGUAAUACGAAGGGGGCUAGCGUUGCUCGGAAUUACUGGGCGUAAAGGGCGCGUAGGCGGAUCGUUAAGUCAGAGGUGAAAUCCCGGAGCUCAACUUCGGAACUGCCUUUGAUACUGGCGAUCUUGAGUGUGAGAGAGGUAUGUGGAACUCCGAGUGUAGAGGUGAAAUUCGUAGAUAUUCGGAAGAACACCAGUGGCGAAGGCGACAUACUGGCUCAUUACUGACGCUGAGGCGCGAAAGCGUGGGGAGCAAACAGGAUUAGAUACCCUGGUAGUCCACGCCGUAAACGAUGAUUGCUAGUUGUCGGGCUGCAUGCAGUUCGGUGACGCAGCUAACGCAUUAAGCAAUCCGCCUGGGGGAGUACG